UGAGGAAUAUUGGGCAAUGCCCGCAAGGGUGACCCAGCAACGCCGCGUGGAGGAUGAAUGUCGUAAGAUUGUAAACUCCUGUUAGAGGGGAAGAAUAGUACCGGUUGGACCGGUAUAUGACUGUACCCUCAGAGAAAGCCCCGGCUAACUACGUGCCAGCAGCCGCGGUAAUACGUAGGGGGCAAGCGUUGUCCGGAUUUACUGGGUGUAAAGGGCGCGCAGGCGGGAUAAAAAGUCAGUGGUGAAAUCCUACAGCUUAACUGUAGAACUGCCUUUGAUACUUUUAUUCUUGAGUUUGGGAGAGAGAGACGGAAUUCCAGGUGUAGUGGUGAAAUACGUAGAGAUCUGGAAGAACACCAGUUGCGAAGGCGGUCUCUUGGUCCGACACUGACGCUGAGGCGCGAAAGCGUGGGGAGCAAACA
rnacentral:rRNA from 1 species